rnacentral:tRNA from 1 species
GGAGAGUUGGCCGAGUGGUUGAAGGCGCUGGUCUUGAAAACCAGUGAUCCCGUAAGGGACCGUGGGUUCGAAUCCCACAUUCUCCG